GACGAACGCUGGCGGCGUGCCUAAUACAUGCAAGUUGAGCGCUGAAGGCUGGUACUUGUACCAACUGGGUGAGCAGCGAACGGGUGAGUAACGCGUGGGGAAUCUGCUUUUGAGCGGGGGACAACAUUGGGAAACGAAUGCUAAUACCGCAUAAAAACUUUAAACACAAGUUUUAAGGGUGAAAGAUGCAAUUUCGGUACUUAAAGAUGAUCUCGCGUUGUAUUAGCUUGUUGGUGGGGUAAAGGCUUACCAAGGCGAUGAUGGAUAGCCGACCUGAGCGGGUGACCGGCCGCAUCAGACCUGAGAUGCGGCCAAGAGUCCUACGGGAGGGAGCAGUGGGGAAUGUUGCACAAUGGGCGGACGCGUGAUGCAGGAACGUUGCGGGCGGGAAAACGGCUUUCGGGUUGGAAACCGGUUUGGCCUGGGACGAAGCGUGAGAGGCGGUAAUGGCUAAAGAAGCAGCGGCUAACUACGUG
rnacentral:rRNA from 1 species